rnacentral:sRNA from 2 species
CUGCUAAUCUAUCACUGCUGCCAACCUAUCUACCGCUGCCAACCUACCUACCGCUGCCAACCUAUCUACCACUGCCAACCUACCUACCGCUGCCAACCUACCUACCACUGCUAAUCUAUCACUGCUAAUCUAUCGCUGCUAAUCUAUUGCUGCUAAUCUAUCGCUGCUAAUCUAUUGCUGCUAAUCUAUCUAUCACUGCUAAUCUACCGCUGCCAACCUACCUACCGCUGCCAAUCUACCUACCGCUGCCAACCUACCUACCACUGCUAAUCUAUCACUGCUAAUCUAUCACUGCCAACCUAUAUAGGGUAAAUCAUGGUCCCAUUUGGUCCCAUUUUGUAAAAUGGGACCAAAUGGGACUGGGACCACUAAUUUAUUAGUAAAACAUGAUCUGGGACUAGAUUUAUAAUAUAAACAGUGUAAAGUGACUAAUUUACUAAACACUAUAUGGGACCAGGACUAAGAUAUCUAAUAAUGGGACUGAGGAAAAAUUUGGUCCCAGUCCCAUGCAUGGUCACACAGCCAGUCUAUCAAUGACUGAAUAUUCAGAGUAUAAAAUUAUACAGUAUUAUUGUCUGAGAAUUCUACUGACUGAAUAUAUCAAAAAAUGUACAUUGAUUUAUAUAUAAUUAUGAUUGCUGCAGCUCAGUGACAGCAUGAUAUAAAUACUGAAA